AUUCCGGUUGAUCCUGCCGGACCCGACUGCUAUCGGAUUGGGACUAAGCCAUGCGAGUCAACUCCGCAAGGGGUGGCGCACGGCUCAGUAACACGUAGUCAACCUACCCUAGGGACGGGGAUAACCUCGGGAAACUGAGGCUAAACCCCGAUAGGCUAUAGCCUCUGGAAUGAGCUAUAGCUGAAAUCUAUAUGGCCCUAGGAUGGGACUGCGGCCGAUCAGGUAGUUGGUGGGGUAAUGGCCCACCAAGCCUAUAACCGGUGCGGGCUCUGAGAGGAGGAGCCCGGAGAUGGGCACUGAGACAAGGGCCCAGGUCCUAUGGGGCGCAGCAGGCGCGAAACCUCCGCAAUGGGCGAAAGCCCGACGGGGUUAGUCCGAGUGGUCCCUGCUGAAGGGGCCUUUUGCCAGCUGUAAAAAGGCUGGCGAAUAAGGGGUGGGCAAGUUUGGUGUCAGCCGCCGCGGUAAUACCAGCACCCCGAGUGGUCGGGACGAUUAUUGGGCCUAAAGCAUCCGUAGCCGGCCCAGUAAGUCCUCCGUUAAAUCCAACGGCUCAACCGUUGGGCUGCGGGGGAUACUGCUGGGCUAGGGGACGGGAGAGGCGAGGGGUAUUCCCGGGGUAGGGGUAAAAUCCACUGAUCC
rnacentral:rRNA from 1 species